GAUUCCAUAGUGUAAUGGUUAUUACGGCUGCUUUAUAUGCAGAAGACCCUAGGUUUGAACCCCAGUGGAACUG
rnacentral:tRNA from 2 species